AUCAAUGCUACAACUAUUUCUUCUAAAUUCUCUAAUUUUAUCAAAGCUUCUAUAGUGGCCCUUGUCCAAUGACUUUUAGAAUAAUGGUUAGAAGCUUGAAUGACAUCUUUCUUUUCUACAAAUCUUACUCACAAGACAUCCCCAAAAUUUUGUAUUUCAUCUUUUUCAUCUUCAUUGCUUUCUAUUGCUCUUGUUCCUUAUGCAUUUGAUGUCAUAGAGUCUUCUAUAGAUUUUUAUUUUUUCUUUAUUGUAUCAAUAAUAACUU
rnacentral:lncRNA from 1 species